UAAAAACUAUGUUUUAGCAUGUUGGUGUUAUUUGGCUUUAUUACUAUCAUUUUUAUUUCACCCAGUGCUGAUUGCAUAUUGGCUAGUGAAGCAUAAUGCACCCAAUUUAUUAACUAAGUGCAGUUAUUAAAAGAUAACUCCAUGAUGAGCAAUCAAGGUGCAGGAGCCAGACAGGGCUGGUUUGGACCCUUGAGCACAUUAGGGAUCAUUUUUAACCCUCACUCUGUGCAGCUGGACGAUGGAGACAAUAGCAAUCUCAAACUCCCAGGAAUUUUUCGAGAUCCCAUGCAAUGUUGCCUGCCUGCCACAGAGAAUAUUCCCUUCUGGUGUUAAUUCCUGCAAUUCCUGUGCUUUCUGUGAACAUUACAAAGGUGAUACAGUCACCACAGCAUAGGCUCAAGAAUAUGGAUGGUAUGGCGCCUAAAUUGAAAGCAAGAGAUUCCUCUGCCUGGACCAUGCAAGGUCUGAGGGUCAGGUGGAGUGAGGCACAAAACCGGAUCCUCAUCCUGUCCUGCAUGCCUGUGCAAGUGGGUACUUGUUUAACAUGCUCUUCUGCAUGCUUUGGGCAGGAAAUGAAGUUUGCCUCCAAAAAUGAUGAAAAGAAGGGAUUUCAGACAGGCAAGCAAGCAUUCCAUGCAGAUGUGGAUAUAAAAUCAUAACAAAAACUCUUCCUGUGGUUCGGAGAAAUGUUCCCCAAAGGCACCGUCCUCAGCUUGUGACACUGUUGGGAGGGAGUGGAAGCCUCAGAAGGUGGAACCUGGUGGGAAGAAGUUGGGACACCUGCCAGGCCCACCCUGGAAGGGGCUAAGGAGGCCCCGUGCAUUGCUGUCAGUUCACUUCCCAGCCGUCACGAGCACAAGCUUCUUCUGCCACUUUUUCACACCACUAUGUCUAAGUGACCAGGGACAGAACCCUCUGAAACCAUUAGCCAAAACAAACCUUCCCUCCUUAUAAGUUAAUGAUCUCAGGUAUUUUGUCACAGAGUCAGAAAGCUAACACAGUUAUGUAAUAGAAUCCAAUAAUUAAAAGAAAGACUAUUUCAAGCAAGAGCAGGUGUGUGUCCUUAGCAGCAAAGCCAAACUUGCAAUUAAAGAAUCUCUUCAUGGUUUAGUUCCAAAUCCUAAAUGUUGCUUUGGAGACAUGUCCACACGUUGCUAGAAAAAGUUGGUUUUAUUAUUCAAAGAAUUGUGGUUUUGGGAAAGAGUAGACGCAUGAAGCUGAC
rnacentral:lncRNA from 1 species